GAAUGGCUGUUUUCUUGUCCGGGAGAGGGACGCUGCGUCCGCGGCGUUCCCGUGGGGCUGAGAACAGUCGUCGCCGCCUCAGAUGGCUUCUCGCGGGGCCUUGAAUCCGCCCUCAGGGCCUCCGCAAGGGCGAGCGGGAGGCGCACCGGAAGGAACUGAGAGGAACUUUCAGGGCUUUUCGCCCCACCGUGGCGGCCCGGCCCUCCUCGCCUCGCCGGCCAACACUGCCGCCGCCCGGGCGCGGGUCGAAGCGGUUGGUCCUCCGGGCCCUGGGGUGGCUGGGCUGCUCCUCGGGCGGAGCCUGCGGGCGACUAGGCCUGGUGCGUCCCGCAGCAGCCGCAGCGCCCCCAGGCGGCGCCCGGCCCCUUGGCUGGCUCAGACCCCCCGCGUGCGCAUCAUCCCAAGCCCGCUUAGCGCUUAGUCCAGCGGCAUGCCGUGGGCACUGUGCCGCCCUCACUAUCUGCCUCUGCUAAAACACCGAAACAGAGUAGCAGAGGAGACAGCGCCGGGCGUUGAGGCAGUCCCGAGUUGGAAUACCACCUCCAUCAUCAUUCUUUCAUUCAACAAGCAUUUAUGGAACACCUAUUAUGAGUCAGGCACCCAGCUACAAGCUGGAAACCCUAGAAAACAGGGCAGACACGAAACCCCAAGGAGCUUACAGUUGAACAGAUCAUCUCACAGCUAUAUUUAACAGUGUGCCAAUAUUAGAUGGAAUGACAGCACUCGAAUGAAAGCUAACCUAGCCCAGGGCUAGGAAAGGCUGCCUAAGGAAGUGCCCUUUUCCCCUCCGAGCCUAGAAGAUGGAAAAGAGCUACCCAAGCAAAGGACUGGACAAGUAGCUUUUCAGGAACAGGGAACAGCAGGAGAGAAAGAAUUGAAGUGAGAACAAAGUUGAAAUGGUUGAGAAACCGCAAAACCCUGCUUAGAGAACAAGAGAGAUGUGGGCACAAACCGAGCUGCUGAGGUGCGCGAUGGACAGAUCAUGCAGGCUGCUGAGUAGAGAGAGUGAAGUCAGCAAAGAAGACAAAAAGAACAGCCAAGAAGGCAGGAGGAAAACCAAAAUUGGUCACAGAAGCCAAAGAAGUGUGUGGAAAAAAAAAAAGGAAUGGCCAACUUUAUCGGAUGCUGCUGCUCGGUCAGGGGAGAUGAGAACAAACUUCCACUGAAUGCAGCAGCUUGGAAGUUCUUGGUGACUGUUUGGGGCAGAAUUUCUCUUCCAGUAACCAUGUCAUUAUUUUAGCUACUAUGGAAAUAAAUAUUAAUAAAUUUA
rnacentral:lncRNA from 1 species